UAUAUAUUUUUACAUCAUUUUCAUCUUUGCACAAUGUAUGCGUUUUCAUCUGGGUUACAGUCCCCGUGAAAUUCCCACCCCCUUGUUUCGAUCCUACGCCCUUCUCUCCCCCCCUCCACAGUGUGUCUCUGGUUUAUAGUUGCCUGUUCAUUUUGCUUUUAACUUUAGUAUAAUUAGUCUUUUUCUUGGUCCCAUAUUCAGGUUUUCUGAAUUCCUGCCAUGAGUGAGACCAUCUGGGAUUUUUCUUUUCUUUCUGGCUGAUUUCACUGAGCAUGAUCCCUUCCAGCUCCAUCCAUGUUGCUGCAAAUGGUAGAGUGUACUGAUGAUGAGCCUGAUGCUGGUUUUCAUCGAGAGCCUCGUAGAUAUCUACAGCUCUAGUUUUAUGAGUUGUCCUUUCAGAACUCUCAGAUGGAACUAGAGCUGCAGAGGCUGUGGAUGGCUUCACAGUGCUGCGCCAUCAGGGAGGCCCCAAGCCUUGCUUUUAUGUCAGCUUCAGAUAUUUUAGGGUCUGGCUGCAGUAGAUGCUGUCGGUGAAAGGCUGAGAGUCCCUGGGCCUGCAACAGACCCACCUGAGCCUCCUGCCCUAGCGUGCCUGCCCCAGCCCACUGUGACCUUCUCAUUAGCUAGAGUUAGUUAUGUUGGCACAAGGCCUGGCGGUGGACUAAACGUUUCAGGGGGUAACUGAUGGACUUUAUCUGGCCAGGAGCCUGACUUGUGCACCCCAGAUGACCAGGUGAGCUCUUGGAAGUCUCCUGCUUCUCUACCCCCAGCUUGCUUAAAGGUGCAAAUGUGGCCCUGCUGGGGCUAUGGGUGCUCUGUCACCUGAUGGCUCAGGGCUCGGACUUUGGAAAAAAGAUCACCUCUGGGCCUGCGGGAUAAAUAAAGAUGAAAUUCUUCCAUAACCUCUUACAAUCUGAUACUCAAAAGGUAGAAGGUCCUAACUCUAAAUGCAAAUAAAGUGAAGUGUGUUAAGAAUUGUAUUUAAAACAGGGCCUCCCCUGGUGGCUCAGGCGAUUGAGCACAGUGCUGUGAAGCUGUCCACAGCUUCUGCAGCGCCAGUUCGAGCCCAGCCGGUGGGAGAGGGUCCCGCAUGGCACAGCAGACCUCUCCUGUUAGGCCCACAGCUCCCCUCAGCAGUGUAUUUUAGUAGAUCUGCCUGUUCUGUUCCCCAC